rnacentral:rRNA from 1 species
CCUACGGGAGGCAGCAAUGGGGAAUAUUGCACAAUGGGGGAAACCCUGAUGCAGCAACGCCGCGUGAGUGAUGACGGUCUUCGGAUUGUAAAGCUCUGUCUUUGGGGACGAUAAUGACGGUACCCAAGGAGGAAGCCACGGCUAACUACGUGCCAGCAGCCGCGGUAAU